UCACUUCUCCUUCUCAAACGGAAAAUCUCCAUCAAAACCACUUUUCCUAAAAUCACUUUUCCUUAAAUCACCUUUCCUUUAUUAAUUUCUCCAAUCAAAAUCGCUACUUCUCCGUCAUUGUAAUCGAUGUUUCUCCUUGGUAAAUCAAAAUCAACGCUUCUCGAUCAAAAUCUCUGCUUCUUAUCGUUGAUUGAAAUUGCAGCUUCUCCUUCAUUGGUCAAAGCUUCUACUUCUCCUUCUUCGUUGGAAAUCACUGUUUUAACUUUCUCUUAGGAAUUCGUUGCUUCAACUUUCUAAUCAGUUACUUUACCAUUCCAAAUCGCUCACGCAUUUCUCAAAACCUAAUAGUUGAGAGAAGACUCAAGGCUGAAGUUGUAAUUCCUUUGAUUGCUACAAAGAAUACAAAGAACUUCAAUUACAUGGAAGCAACUCUCAUUUAAGAUCUCCAAGAAGGAGGAGGAGUUGAAACAUACAGUUUCGUUUAGAGAUGUGUAUGCUCGAGUUCAUAAGAAAAAAAGAUGGAGAAUAUGUCUCUCAACGAUCGAAGAGACAUAUGACACGGCUAUAUUGGAAAAGUAUGAAGAAGACUCUUCCAUUCAUCCGAUGAUUGAUCCUAAAGUGUGGGUAUAAGUUUCUGGUUAGAAAAAGACAAGGCAUACAUUUAUGCAUUGUAGCUUAGAUGUUAGAAGAACUAUGUCUGCCCCAUUUGUUGAUGUCACUAGUCAUUCCAGAACCAUGGAGGAAGAUAUAAAAAAGUUGUGGAUAAGGCAAUAACCUCUUUUGUCCAAACACAUUUGGCACCGAUGUUGGAGCCAAUCCUUUCAUUGAUUCGAUCCAUGCCAAAAGCACCCAUGCAAAGUGAAGUACCUGAAAAAACUCAUGGAGAUAAAGGUGAAAGAAUGUUUUUCAAUUUAUUUCGGAAACCGGAGUUAAUAUGGAACUUGAGUUGUGAUUUCUAAAUUGGAAAUAAAAUAGAAUAUUAUUGUAAUGUAUAAUGUUUUAGUGUUGUUAAAUAUAUUAAAAAUUUGAUUUUAGAAUAUUAUUGUGAUGUCUAU